rnacentral:rRNA from 1 species
GAGUUUGAUCCUGGCUCAGAAUCAACGCUGGCGGCGUGCCUAACACAUGCAAGUCGCACGAGAAAGUGGAGCAAUCCAUGAGUACAGUGGCGCACGGGUGAGUAACACGUGAAUAAUCUACCUCCGAGUGGGGAAUAACCUAGGGAAACCUGGGCUAAUACCGCAUAACACUUACGAGUCAAAGCAGCAAUGCGCUUGGAGAGGAGUUCGCGGCAGAUUAGCUAGUUGGCGGGGUAAUGGCCCACCAAGGCAAUGAUCUGUAUCCGGCCUGAGAGGGCGCACGGACACACUGGAACUGAAACACGGUCCAGACUCCUACGGGAGGCAGCAGUGGGGAAUUUUGCGCAAUGGGGGAGACCCUGACGCAGCAACGCCGCGUGGAGGAUGAAAUCCCUUGGGAUGUAAACUCCUUUCGAUCGGGACGAUUAUGACGGUACCGGAAGAAGAAGCCCCGGCUAACUUCGUGCCAGCAGCCGCGGUAAUACGAGGGGGGCGAGCGUUGUUCGGAAUUAUUGGGCGUAAAGGGUGCGUAGGCGGUUUGAUAAGUCUGAUGUGAAAUCUAUGGGCUCGACCCAUAGCCUGCAUUAGAAACUGUCGGGCUUGAGUAUGGGAGAGGUGAGUGGAAUUUCCGGUGUAGCGGUGAAAUGCGUAGAUAUCGGAAGGAACACCUGUGGCGAAAGCGGCUCACUGGACCAUUACUGACGCUGAUGCACGGAGAGCUAGGGAAGCAAACAGGAUCAGAUACCCUGGUAGUCCCAAGCCCUAAACGAUGAUUGGUUGAUGUGUAGGGGUACCCGAUCCUUUCCGUGUCGUAUCUAACGCGAUAAGCAACCCGCUAGGUAGUACAGUCCCACGCUUGAACUCAAAGGAAA